GCUGGUGUAAUUCUGGUAUGAAAACAUCUCUGUCUCCACAGAUGUUCAUCCAGACAGCGACUCUGACCGUCUCCAUGUCCCUCAGUGCUUCCGUCUCACUCGGCAUGCUCUACAUGCCCAAAGUUUACGUCAUCAUCUUUCACCCAGAGCAGAACGUCCAGAAGAGGAAGAGGAGCUUCAAGGCUGUUGUCCAGGCGGCCAAAUCCUUAACAGACAAACAAAAUGGAGAAAUGAAGAUCGAACCAGACAGAAGUCAAUGAGCUUACGGUAGCUGCUAACCAAUCCCUGCGCAGAGCCUAAUGACAUCAUCAUCACUAAGAUCACAUGGUUUAACAAAUGAUCACCACACAUGUACGAAGUGACGUCCUUCCGCAUCCACACAGGGCAUCCUCAUUAAAGACGGUUGCCAUGAAAACCGUAGACAUAUAAAGAGUAGACACCAAUCGCAUUGACUGUCUGAC